GGGUUGUGAGGUUAAGCGACUAAGCGUACACGGUGGAUGCCCUGGCUGUCAGAGGCGAUGAAGGACGUGCUAAUCUGCGAAAAGCGUCGGUAAGGUGAUAUGAACCGUUAUAACCGGCGAUGUCCGAAUGGGGAAACCCAGUGCAAUUCGUUGCACUAUCGUUAACUGAAUACAUAGGUUAACGAGGCGAACCGGGGGAACUGAAACAU
rnacentral:rRNA from 1 species